rnacentral:rRNA from 1 species
GACGAACGCUGGCGGCGUGCUUAACACAUGCAAGUCGAACGGAAAGGCCCUGCUUUUGUGGGGUGCUCGAGUGGCGAACGGGUGAGUAACACGUGAGUAACCUGCCCUUGACUUUGGGAUAACUUCAGGAAACUGGGGCUAAUACCGGAUAUGAGCUCCUGCUGCAUGGUGGGGGUUGGAAAGUUUCGGCGGUUGGGGAUGGACUCGCGGCUUAUCAGCUUGUUGGUGGGGUAGUGGCUUACCAAGGCUUUGACGGGUAGCCGGCCUGAGAGGGUGACCGGCCACAUUGGGACUGAGAUACGGCCCAGACUCCUACGGGAGGCAGCAGUGGGGAAUAUUGCACAAUGGGCGGAAGCCUGAUGCAGCAACGCCGCGUGCGGGAUGACGGCCUUCGGGUUGUAAACCGAUUUCGCCUGUGACGAAGAGUGAGUGACGGUAAUGGGUAAAGAAGCACCGGCUAACUACGUG